AUACUUAACUCCAGCAGGAGAGAGGUCAUCAUCAUGCAGGUGGCUUUCUCAGGGCGAGGCUUAUCCAUUGCCCUCCGGAUGCUGGAUCUCGGCGAUCCCCUGAAUGUAAGGCAACCACCCGCACUCUGUGGUGUAACUGUGUUAGCGCUCUGCUCUC
rnacentral:snRNA from 1 species